UUUUUUUUUUUUUUUUUUUGGUGAAAUUCAUUAUUCUCUUUUUAGGUUUUUAUAGCUGUUUAAUUUUAGGGUGAUGUAGAGGGCUUAAUGAGUGCAUAGAUGUGCACUUCCUCUUUACAGGGAAGUUCACUCUUCAUCAGUGAAGCAGGAGACUAUCUCCUCUAUGCUCUUAGCUUCAUUUAGGACUAGGUAUAUGGCAACCUGGCUGUAGGCUGAUGUUACUCACCUUCUCUCCAUGGAAAAAGGUUAACAUAGCAUUAAGAAUACAAGGCCAAUGUGAUGGUUGUGUCAAUGCCUCUCUCUCCAUCCCUUUUUUUCCUUACCUCCAAUAAUUUCUGAAUUUAUUAUCUAUUUUCAGACAAUCUGACUAGGUCAAAAAUCUAAGUGACUGAACUGUUCAAAUUUUAUGAAAAUGUGUGUUUAGGUAGAGAAGACAUUUAAAUUAAAAAUGCUCUAAAGAUACUCAGUGAUAGCUCAACCAUAUUACCUGAAACAACUUGAGUUCUGCUGUUCAAAAAUCUUUUCAGGUUUUCUGUGUUUUCCAGUGUGUUCAACUGUGUUGGAUAGCACCUGCUGGACAAAUCCUCUUAGUGGGACACUUCAUGCCAAGAGCACCAGGGAAUAAGAAAUGAUCCAGCCUGGGUCUCUUGGGUGACGCCAGAUACAAGCUAGUGUAACCAGCCUUGCUUUCUACCAGCCCAUACUGCACAUCUGAGGGUCAGCUCAGUCCUCUUUGUAGAUCAGUCCACGCAUGGGUAGGGAUUGUCUGUAACAUGUUUUUUUUUCUGUGUUUUUUUCUUAGAAGGUUUCAACUUACCCUGUUUCAAAUAAUGUUUAACACAGCAAGAGUCAUGGUCUUGCUUUCUUUGGGAACUGCUGGGCUAGUGGCCAGAUCAGGUUAUGUGUGAUCUUGGAGAGACCAGCAUGGGUUUCAUCUACAGGAACAAACAAACAAAAAGAAACA